ACGCUCAUGUUUCUGCUCAGAUCGUAUAAAUCUUUCGCCUUUUACUAAAGAUUUCCGUGGGGAGGAACACUAUGAGUAUAAUAUAAUUUAUUGAUGUCCUGCUUUAUGGUGGGACU